AUUGACACCCCCCUUUGUUUUUAUAAUGCUGCUACUCGCUGUUUAUUAUCUAAGCAUAGUUACUUUACCUCUACCUACAUGUACAAAUUACCUCUACUAACCUGUUCCCCCGCACAUUGACUCGGUACCGGUACCCCCUGUAUAUAGCCUCGCUACUGUUAUUUUAUUGUGUUACAUUUUAUGUUUAUUUUUUACUUUAGUUUAUUUAGUAAAUAUUUUCUUAACUCUUUCCUGUUUUACAUUUUUGGUUAAAGGCUUGUAAGUAAGCAUUUCACGGUAAGGUCUACACCUGUUGUAUUCGGGCCCAUGUGACAAAUAAAAUUUGAUUUGAUUUGAGAUGUCCCAUCCACAUAGUAAGAUUUUAGAUGUACAGAUAGACCAAUCCCAGUCUAAUUUACCGUUACUUUAGUCAAGUCUGUGGGUUAUGGUAUUUUAAUGUAAAUGUUACCGUUUUAGUAAUCAACUUAGCUAGCUAGUAAAAGUACCAUUUUUGUGUGUGUGUCUUUCAAAUGGGCGGACCGAAAACCCAGUGACGACUCUCGGGUCUGUAGCUGCCAUUUUCCGGUGGAAAAGAGAAAUGGUACCAGAAAAGGUAGGUCAUCCAUCAUGACAGAAGAGGAAGAUCCAGACUGUUGAUUGGGAAACAAGAACAAACAAUGAGGCAUGACGAUCAGGUGUUGAGUUAGAUAAAUAAUGUUUUUUUUCUGUCCAGAUAAAGAAGGUGAUUCAGCAUUAAAAAAAGACCUACCACUCACCAAAUGUCUCUUUGCUUUCCACUCCAACAGGAGUGCAUCCCUCAGACUGUAUGAUGCAUGGACAUUCUGUCUCAGUGUGAUGCGCUUGUGGAGACUACAGCUGAUCGAGCCUGUGGACGGACAGACAUGAGGUGUUACAUGCAGAAACAUCAGGCUCCCCCCACGAGAAGCAGUAAAUGAUCAACGCCACCCUCAACAAGGACAUCUGCUGGAAGUGAUGUACUCUCACUCUGGGGUAUGUCAGGUACAGACAUGGAAAUGGAGCCUUUACCAAGUAAGGGGUACUGACAGGAGGGGCAAUAUGAGUCGAGGUUGUCACGAUGGAUGGUGAUGGAGGCUUGGUGGUCCACACAACGAAGAAGCAGUGUCCCUUCCAGUCAUUAUGGAGCUGACCUUGGACCUGGUGCCAGUAAGGAUGGUCUUCACGGAAAUCCUUCCACUUCACUGCCUCUUCAAUGGUAAGGUCCCUUGCACCAUAGGAACACUUGACCACCACCACUGCAGACAAUCCCAGACCCCGUUACCCAAAGCUCUGACUCCUGCAUCUCCAUCCCUGUAGCCAUUUUGAAUUCCUUGAUGCCCUCCUCUUCGUUAUCUGUGCCCCACUUUACAGACAACACCCCAUCCAACGACUGAUCUGAGGACCCUUUUUAGUAGCGACGGAGGACAAGUGCAGUUUUUCCAUAAACUUUUAAUUGAUCAAUUUCGGAUUUUAUUGCUUAAGAUAUCAAUCAUAUAGUGGGAAGGAUCCUAUAAAUGAAGACUGUGUGAAUGCAUGUAUUACUGAAUAAAUACUGUGCCUCUGAAGAUUUGCCAUAUGAUUGGUUUCAAAUUCAUCUCCAGUGAUCAUAAGGUAAAAUAUAUCUAAAACAAUUGUCAUUUAGCCUUUAAUUACAAUCCCCUUAUCCAAACAGGUUACUCGUUUAUCAAGCUCUUAUCAGUAGCUCUAACAAAUGUGUAAAUUACAGUGCUGUUAUCGGAAAAAAAUAGUAUUUUUUUCCACUUGGAACCAACAGGUUCACUCAACCUAAUUCAUGGUUUCCUCCAAGUUAAAGGUGGUGUAAUUGUUAGGGAAUUAAGGGCUCUAUUUAAUCCAUAUUGCAGAAGUUCAGCAUUACAGCGUGAUUGAAAUUUAAAGGCAAUUUUCCCACGUUAGUGGAGACUGCAUUCCAAUCACUGGCCACUUUAAUGAAUGGAUCACUAGUCACUUUAAACAAUGGCACUUUAAAUAAUGCCACUUUAAACAAUGUUUACAUAUCUUACAUUACUCAUAUCACAUUACUUGUUAGAUAUUUAUUCACUGUAGGAACUAGAAGCACAAGCAUUUUGCUACACUCACAUUAACAUCUGCUAACCAUGUGAAUGUGACCAAUAACAUUUGAUUUGAUUUGUAAAUGUGGUAAAUGCUGUAUGUGUUGGCUAAAACAGAAAUGAUCUUUACAUUUCUAUCGCCCAAUCUGUAACAUUUCAGCGUUACAGAUUGAAUGGAGCUCUAAAUCAAGGUCAGUUUAUGUGUAUCUGUAGACACACCUCCAUUUCUGUUUUCUCCACCCAAAACAAAUAACUGGCUGGUGAAUCAGAAUUAGUUGGGUAACAUAGAUAAAUAAGAUGUUUUAUUUACAUAAUAUGCUUAUGUGAUAUACUUGUUAUUAGAAUGUAUCCCAUUGAACUCUGGUGUUGGCAGUUGCACUUCUUCCCUCAGCUGGGGCUCAGUCACCUGGGGGCCCAGAGAGGGGAGAGGUCAGGCUUGUCUUUUACAUGUCCCUGUAGCUAUGCAGAAUAUCAGAAAGGGAAGAGGACAGGAUGGAACAUUGUCUUCAUAUGUGAAUGUGUCUUUACCUAUUCUUAAACCAUGUGAAUGGAUGGUGUGAUUAAUGGGGAACCAAUUACUGGUUUCCACAAUGUCUGCGCCAGUCACUCCCUCCUUUGGCCUUGGGGGAUGUGUGUGGUAGUGUCUGGAGUUGACAAUUGAUUUAUGCCAUUGGUCGAUUUGGUGUUCUUGUUUUUUGAGUACCAGGAACGAGAUCGGAAUCCUCGUCUUAGGGACCAAACUGAACGAUAAUUUAUAGCGAAUGCUAUCUGGCUACGGGAUACUCCUUUCUCAUUUAAAAAGUCUCACCUUGUGACACAUUCUAUGUAUCUGUUCUUCGUCAUGUAGGUUGAAAGGGGUGUAUCUUGGCUAUAAAAAACCUUUGUACUUUUGUCUCGCCACUCUCAACGGAUCAUUAGAAAUGGUGAAUCGUUGACAAGUCAUUGCUAUUGCAAAGCUCUCAUUAUUAAAGAUUUAGUUUAAGUAUAA